CCUAAUAAAUUGCCUACAAUCUGCUUGGUGUCUAAUCAAAGAGAUCAGAGGAAGAUGUAUGUAUAUAAAUGAUGCAUAAGACAAUGCCUGAUUAAAAUGAUGAUCAGACAUAAUAAGUCACAUCAUGAAUCUGACAAAUUUUCAACAGAGACAAUCAAUUAUCUUUUUCAACCAGCAAGUUCAGGCUUUCCUGGUAAUAUUUUCCUUAAAAUUUCAUUGGCACACCGAUGUCAAUCUCUUAUGUGCCAGGAUCUUGAUGUAAGGAGAUUUUAUUGCUAAAAUUGCAUCUCCUUACACCUGGCCUGCUCAUGAAUCAAGUCACAAGAGCGGAGUUAUCUUGAUAUAUGACUGAGUGAAAGGAGCCUGGAAAUUGGAGGUGCAGAAACAAGUACUACCAACAGUAAACGGAGCAUAAAACAAGAAGGUAUGUGGAGAAACAG